rnacentral:rRNA from 1 species
AACAAACGCUGGCGGCGUGCCUAACACAUGCAAGUCGUACGAGAAAGGGUCCUUCGGGAUCUGAGUAAAGUGGCGCACGGGUGAGUAACGCGUGGAUAAUCUGCCCUUCAGUUGGGAAUAACACAUCGAAAGGUGGGCUAAUACCGAAUAACGCGGUGAGACUUUGGUCGAUCAGCCAAAGAGAGCCUCUGCUUGCAUGCCCUCGCUGAAGGAUGAGUCCGCGUACCAUUAGCUAGUUGGUAGGGUAAUGGCCUACCAAGGCGACGAUGGUUAGCUGGGCGGAGAGGAUGAUCAGCCACACUGGAACUGAGACACGGUCCAGACUCCUACGGGAGGCAGCAGUGAGGAAUCUUGCGCAAUGGGGGCAACCCUGACGCAGCAACGCCGCGUGAGUGAGGAAGGUCUUCGGAUCGUAAAGCUCUGUCGGAUGGAAAGAACCGCAUAGGGGUAAACAGCCCCUGUGUCUGACGGUACCAUCAAAGGAAGCACCGGCUAACUCCGUGCCAGCAGCCGCCGUAAUAC